rnacentral:misc_RNA from 1 species
CCUCCGUAGGUGAACCUGCGGAGGGAUCAUUACAGAGUUCAUGCCCUACCGGGUAGAUCUCCCACCCUAUGUUAUCAUUACUUUGUUGCUUUGGCGGGCCGUUAGGCUCCGGCCCGACUACCGGCCCCGGCUGGUAAGCGCCCGCCAGAGGACCCAAAACCCUGAAUAUUAGUGUCGUCUGAGUACUAUAUAAUAGUUAAAACUUUCAACAACGGAUCUCUUGGUUCUG